ACGCACGCUGGCGGCGUGCCUAAUACAUGCAAGUAGCACGCUGAAGGAGGAGCUUGCUUCUCUGGAUGAGUUGCGAACGGGUGAGUAACGCGUAGGUAACCUGCCUGGUAGCGGGGGAUAACUAUUGGAAACGAUAGCUAAUACCGCAUAAUAGUAGAUGUUGCAUGACAUUUGCUUAAAAGGUGCAAUUGCAUCACUACCAGAUGGACCUGCGUUGUAUUAGCUAGUUGGUGGGGUAACGGCUCACCAAGGCGACGAUACAUAGCCGACCUGAGAGGGUGAUCGGCCACACUGGGACUGAGACACGGCCCAGACUCCUACGGGAGGCAGCAGUAGGGAAUCUUCGGCAAUGGACGGAAGUCUGACCGAGCAACGCCGCGUGAGUGAAGAAGGUUUUCGGAUCGUAAAGCUCUGUUGUAAGAGAAGAACGAGUGUGAGAGUGGAAAGUUCACACUGUGACGGUAUCUUACCAGAAAGGGACGGCUAACUACGUG
rnacentral:rRNA from 1 species